UGGUGGGUAGUUUGACUGGGGCGGUCUCCUCCCAAAGUGUAACGGAGGAGCACGAAGGUCAGCUAAUCCUGGUCGGACAUCAGGAGGUUAGUGCAAUGGCAUAAGCUGGCUUGACUGCGAGAGUGACGGCUCGAGCAGGUGCGAAAGCAGGUCAUAGUGAUCCGGUGGUUCUGUAUGGAAGGGCCAUCGCUCAACGGAUAAAAGGUACUCCGGGGAUAACAGGCUGAUACCGCCCAAGAGUUCAUAUCGACGGCGGUGUUUGGCACCUCGAUGUCGGCUCAUCACAUCCUGGGGCUGAAGUAGGUCCCAAGGGUAUGGCUGUUCGCCAUUUAAAGUGGUACGCGAGCUGGGUUUAGAACGUCGUGAGACAGUUCGGUCCCUAUCUGCCGUGGGCGCUGGAGAAUUGAGGGGGGCUGCUCCCAGUACGAGAGGACCGGAGUGGACGCAUCACUGGUGUUCGGGUUGUCAUGCCAAUGGCACUGCCCGGUAGCUAAAUGCGGAAGAGAUAAGUGCUGAAAGCAUCUAAGCACGAAACUUGCCCCGAGAUGAGUUCUCCCUGAGACUAUAAGUCUCCUGAAGGAACGUUGAAGACGACGACGUUGAUAGGCCGGGUGUGUAAGCGCAGCGAUGCGUUGAGCUAACCGGUACUAAUGAACCGUGAGGCUUAACCUU
rnacentral:rRNA from 1 species